rnacentral:rRNA from 1 species
AACACUGACGUCGCGACGCAUAUCAAUAAGCGGAGGAAAAGAAACUAACUAGGAUUCCCUUAGUAACGGCGAGUGAAGCGGGAAGAGCUCAAAUUUGAAAUCUUCAAGGUUUUACCUUGACGAAUUGUAGUUUAAAGAAGUGUUUUCUGUUGGAGUUUUGGUAAAAGUUCUUUGGAAUAGGACAUCAUAGAGGGUGAGAAUCCCGUAUUUGACCAUUAUUUCAGCUGUGUGAUACACUUUCAAAGAGUCGGAUUGUUUGGGAAUGCAGUCCAAAAUGGGUGGUAAAUUUCAUCUAAAGCUAAAUAUUGGCGAGAGACCGAUAGCGAACAAGUACCGUGAGGGAAAGAUGAAAAGAACUUUGAAAAGAGAGUUAAACAGUACGUGAAAUUGUCAAAAGGGAAGCGUUUGACACCAGUGUUGUUUUUCCGAAAAUCAAUUAUAAAUGUUUUGUUUCUGAGGAGUGAUGACUUCAUCGGCUUCCUUCUCUCUUCACGAAACUUUUGUAAUGCACUUUUCGGUUAACAAGUCAACAUCGAUUUCUUUUGUUGUAAAAGGGUCAUUGGAAGGUGGCUUUCUUUUCGGAGAAAGUGUUUAUAGCCUUUGGCCUCUGCAAUCGGAGAGAUUGAGGUCUGCAGCGUAGAUCCUUCGGGGUUAGAUACAUUUGUGCUAAGUUAUAGCCUUUCAUAGACAACUUGUUGACUAUGAUCAGUCAUGUAGCUUACUCGCUUAUGCUAUUUUACCUACGCUUAGGAUGUUGAGUCGUAGAGCACGCAG